rnacentral:rRNA from 1 species
GACGAACGCUGGCGGCGUGCCUAAUACAUGCCAGUAGAACGCUGAAGAGAGGAGCUUGCUCUUCUUGGAUGAGUUGCGAACGGGUGAGUAACGCGUAGGUAACCUGCCUUGUAGCGGGGGAUAACUAUUGGAAACGAUAGCUAAUACCGCAUAACAAUGGAUGACACAUGUCAUUUAUUUGAAAGGGGCAAUUGCUCCACUACAAGAUGGACCUGCGUUGUAUUAGCUAGUAGGUGAGGUAAUGGCUCACCUAGGCGACGAUACAUAGCCGACCUGAGAGGGUGAUCGGCCACACUGGGACUGAGACACGGCCCAGACUCCUACGGGAGGCAGCAGUAGGGAAUCUUCGGCAAUGGGGGCAACCCUGACCGAGCAACGCCGCGUGAGUGAAGAAGGUUUUCGAAUCGUAAAGCUCUGUUGUAAGUCAAGAACGGGUGUGAGAGUGGAAAGUUCACACUGUGACGGUAGCUUACCAGAAAGGGACGGCUAACUACGUG